rnacentral:sRNA from 1 species
UACAUAACAAACAGCGAAACUCCGUAC